GCAACGGAUAUCUCGGCUCUCGCAUCGAUGAAGAACGUAGCGAAAUGCGAUACUUGGUGUGAAUUGCAGAAUCCCGUGAACCAUCGAGUCUUUGAACGCAAGUUGCGCCCGAAGCCKUUAGGCCGAGGGCACGCCUGCCUGGGCGUCACGCGCCGUUGCCCCCCCU
rnacentral:rRNA from 2 species